rnacentral:rRNA from 1 species
UACGGAGGGUGCAAGCGUUAUCCGGAUUCACUGGGUUUAAAGGGUGCGUAGGCGGGCAGGUAAGUCCGUGGUGAAAUCUCCGAGCUUAACUCGGAAACUGCCAUGGAUACUAUUUGUCUUGAAUGUUGUGGAGGUAAGCGGAAUAUGUCAUGUAGCGGUGAAAUGCUUAGAUAUGACAUAGAACACCAAUUGCGAAGGCAGCUUGCUACACAAAUAUUGACGCUGAGGCACGAAAGCGUGGGGAUCAAACAGG